rnacentral:rRNA from 1 species
UACGUAGGGUGCAAGCGUUUGUCCGGAAUUAUUGGGCGUAAAGAGCUCGUAGGCGGUCUGUUGCGUCGGCUGUGAAAAUCCGGGGCUCAACCCCGGACUUGCGGUGGGUACGGGCAGACUAGAGUGUGGUAGGGGAGACUGGAAUUCCUGGUGUAGCGGUGAAAUGCGCAGAUAUCAGGAGGAACACCGAUGGCGAAGGCAGGUCUCUGGGCCACUACUGACGCUGAGAAGCGAAAGCGUGGGGAGCGAACAGG